CCUGCAGUACAUCCCCUGCUGCCUUAAGAGAUGAUUAGUGGCUGCUUGUCAGUAGAUGUAGCUCAGUGGUGUUUUAAUAUCCAAAUGUCCUCCCCCCCCCCCAACGAGGAAGGCUGUGGCCUGUUGAAGGCAUUUCACACAGAGAGCCGUGAUUGCUGCGGCAAUCAUUUCCUUCAACAGCCAUUAAGACACUUCUGAAUGUGUUUUAAAAAAGCAAAAGAAGAGGAAAGGAGGGCGGAUGGGGGGUGGCAGGAGUCCUUCCGAUUUCCUGGCAAAUAUCAAUGUUCCCAGAGUGAACUUUAAUUGGAUGGGAUUUUAACAUCAGCGUGUUUGCGGUUAUUAGCGCUUUGUGGGUGCCCACCUUUCAUCCUGAGCCCAGCCUGGAGGUGCAGGGGCAGAGGGGGCGGGGUGGCAAACGCAUCACGCCCGCCCCAGAGACCUCAAGAUAAGGUGGAGCCCAGCUCUCCUAGGGGCGGUUCAUGGCUGGGCUGGCCAUCGGCAGCCUCUGGUCCAAACAGAUGUUGUCUUAAGUCUUCCCGAGUAAAGGAACCUUCUCAGUUCAGCUCCUUUGCUUGGUGGGGCGGCCAGUUCUCUGGCAGGGCCUGUGCUCAGCUCCGUGGUCCAUUUACCAAAAAGGUAGGCAGGUAUGGUUGUGGCUUCAUUCAUUCAUUCAACAAAUACCUAUGGAGGGUCUACCACGUGCCAGGAGCUCUGGAUGUUAGGGUUGCAGCAGGGAGGGUUGGAGCAUAUGACCAGCUUGUGCAGCACCAGCAACGACAAACCAGCACGGAUGUGGAUCGAGGGGCUGAGGCAGGGUCCCGGAGACCUGGUGGGUCCGACCCUUUAGGUGCUGGACCAGGGAGGCCAGGGGAAGCCUGAGGAAGGGAGGGGCAGCCGGGGCUGCAGCGUGGGGGGCACUCAGGAUAGAGGGUGCUAAUUGGUCUGGAAGUAUUUCAACAUCUUGCCAAUUGUCCUAGUCCCAUUGGUAUUUGGAAGCUGAAAAAAAAAAACUCCAGACGCCCAUAUGGAGUCUGCUUCCUCACAAGCACCAGGAAGCAGUCAGCCUGUCUUCUCCAUGCUUGUAGUGGGGAUACGAUUAUAAAAACCUGCCCCAAGGUGGGGGGGGAGCACCCGGGUGGUUCAGCCAGUUGAGUGUCUGACUCUCGAUUUUGGCGCAGGUCGUGAUCUCACAGUAGUGAGAUAGAGGCCUGUUAUGGGUUCCGUGCUGAGUGUGAAGCCUGCUUGGGAUUCUCUCUCCCCCUGCCCCCGUUCCCCCUCCCGUCAAAAAAAAAAAAAAAAAAUCUUGCCGCAAGUGAAACCAGUAACCAAAGAGUUAAGGGACUAAUCCCAGCACCAGACUAAUAAGACAGCUGCAACUUUUUACCCAGACUGUUUUUUGUUUGCUGUUAAUUUCCCUGACCGUCCUUCCCUGAGGUGGAUUUGAGUCUUGCUCUCCCGUCUCCUUGUCUGGCUGCGUUACGAAUAAACCCUUUCCCUGCCGCGACGCUCCGUGUCUCAGCGACUGGCUUUGCUGUGCAUCGGGCGGACCGACGUGGGUUUGGUUGUGAAACCAGCGGCAGCUCCGUGUUCUGUGCUAGGCCUCCGUAGCCUCCAUGAAAAAUGAGGAGACACGUUUCAGGCCACCGAGGCACAGCGGUUGUUCAGCAGAACCCUUUGGUCUUCACUUACGGCAAGACUGAGCGAUAUUCAAGUGUGUCUACACCAUUCUAGGUGCAUCGAGACGGCUGUCACGAGCGUCCUAUCAGCCCGCCUUCAAGGAGAAUCAUCUCAAGGGGCGCCCGGUGAGCUCGGUGAAACAACUGAAUCUUGAUCUCGGCGUUGUGCGUUCCAGCCCCACAUGGGGUAUAGAGAUUACUUAAAUAAAUAAAACUUUAAAGAAACCA